UUCAAUACCACAUAAUGGACAGAGACAGUCUCAGGUAGAGGUCAGUACCACAUGAUAAUGGACAGAGACAGUCUCAGGUAGAGUUCAGUACCACAAGAUAAUGGACAGAGACAGUCUCAGGUAGAGUUCAGUACCACGUGAUAAUGGACAGAGACAGUCUCAGGUAGAGUUCAGUACCACAUGAUAAUGGACAGAGACAGUCUCAGGUAGAGUUCAGUACCACAUGAUAAUGGACAGAGACAGUCUCAGGUAGAGUUCAGUACCAUGUGAUAAUGGACAGAGACAGUCUGAAGUAGAGUUCAGUACCACAUGAUAAUGGACAGAGACAGUCUCAGGUAGAGUUCAGUACCACAUGAUAAUGGACAGAGACAGUCUCAGGUAGAGUUCAGAACCACGUGAUAAUGGACAGAGACAGUCUCAGGUAGAGUUCAGUACCACAUGAUAAUGGACAGAGACAGUCUCAGGUAGAGUUCAGAACCACGUGAUAAUGGACAGAGACAGUCUCAGGUAGAGUUCAGUACCACGUGAUAAUGGACAGAGACAGUCUCAGGUAGAGUUCAGUACCACAUGAUAAUGGACAGAGACAGUCUCAGGUAGAGUUCAGUACCACAUGAUAAUGGACAGAGACAGUCUCAGGUAGAGUUCAGUACCACAUGAUAAUGGACAGAGACAGUCUCAGGUAGAGUUCAGAACCACGUGAUAAUGGACAGAGACAGUCUCAGGUAGAGUUCAGUACCACGUGAUAAUGGACAGAGACAGUCUCAGGUAGAGUUC